AUGCCUUAAUCUAAUGAGUAAGGAAAAUAACGGUAUGCUGGAAACAGCAGACCACCGGCAUUCCAGUGAUUGUCGGAAAGCCAGUUUUUGAAAGGGACGAGGUCGCCCCAGGGUGUCGGCCUACUCUCGCCGAAUGCCCGUCGGUGUUUGCGAUCUUCCCU
rfam:Macrostomum lignano uti_cns_0007890, whole genome shotgun sequence.